rnacentral:rRNA from 1 species
UACGUAGGGGGCAAGCGUUGUCCGGAAUCAUUGGGCGUAAAGAGCGUGUAGGCGGCCCGGUAAGUCGGUUGUGAAAGUCAAGGGCUCAACCCUUGAAAGCCGACCGAUACUGCCGGGCUAGAGUCCGGAAGAGGCGAGUGGAAUUCCUGGUGUAGCGGUGAAAUGCGCAGAUAUCAGGAAGAACACCCGUGGCGAAAGCGGCUCUCUGGAACGGUACUGACGCUGAGACGC